CUAUUCACAGAGAAUCAAAACUAAAAACCCACUUAUCUGGAAAAUUUAUGAAAAUUAUUAGAAGUAUUCUAUAUAUUUUGGUUAUAGGCAAUAAAUUUUCAAGAUUUUAUCUCAAGAUGCGCCCAAAAGGGCGCUUGGGCGCAAAAGGAAUUUUCGAAAAUUGUUAAAUUGGGAAGAGAAUGGAAGAUGGCACACGCUGGGGGGUGCUGUCCCAGAGAGCACAGUGUAGAGGCCUCCAGUCCUCAGCCGGCGGUGAGGGCUGAAAAAGAUCUUCCAGCUCUGAUAAGACGGAUUGAAAAUUGGGAAAUCUUACGAGAGGAGAGAGAGCUGUGCGGAUCGGUGUGGAGUGGAGCGGGGGAAGGGUGAAUGAAAUGGGUGAAUUUCAUAAAUAUGUUUAUGAUUUGUUCAUAAUUUGUUGUUUGUCUUUAAUACGUUCCCAGAAUUCUCCAGGUUCUGUGAUUUCCCACAUAGCGCCUCUACCUGCCCACCGGGGGAUUUCUGGGAUUUUCAAGCUCGCCGUCCAUUCAAUAAGUUAUAACGCGGACUUGCCUCUAUUCGAACUGUGAAAUGUCGCAAGCCCAUGCUAAAGUUCAAAUUUCAAAGACUAAAAAUAACAAAAUAAAAACUUCGAAAUG